UUUAGUUUUUUAAAAUCUGCAGAGUUUAUCUUGUUUAUGUGAUAAAAUGUAGAAAAGGUUUUGUUUUUAACCUGUAUAGUUAAAAUUGUGAUAAAAAAUUGAUAUUGAAAAUGUUAAAAAAACCUAAGUGUAGUCUGAUUUCUACUGUAUGUGCAGUGUCCAUGCUGAAAUGAGUUAGCUGAAGAGGGGCUGAUGCCCGAAACGUUGAUGUAUGGAAAAAACGUUCUAACUAAAUAAAAGAUUCAACUAGCCCAGUGUUGA